rnacentral:rRNA from 1 species
GAUGAACGCUGGCGGCGUGCCUAAUACAUGCAAGUCGAGCGAACGGACGAGAAGCUUGCUUCUCUGAUGUUAGCGGCGGACGGGUGAGUAACACGUGGAUAACCUACCUAUAAGACUGGGAUAACUUCGGGAAACCGGAGCUAAUACCGGAUAAUAUUUUGAACCGCAUGGUUCAAAAGUGAAAGACGGUCUUGCUGUCACUUAUAGAUGGAUCCGCGCUGCAUUAGCUAGUUGGUAAGGUAACGGCUUACCAAGGCAACGAUGCAUAGCCGACCUGAGAGGGUGAUCGGCCACACUGGAACUGAGACACGGUCCAGACUCCUACGGGAGGCAGCAGUAGGGAAUCUUCCGCAAAGGGCGAAAGCCUGACGGAGCAACGCCGCGUGAGUGAUGAAGGUCUUCGGAUCGUAAAACUCUGUUAUUAGGGAAGAACAUAUGUGUAAGUAACUGUGCACAUCUUAACGGUACCUAAUCAGAAAGCCACGGCUAACUACGUG